AAGGGGACUGUGCUCUUUCUUAUAAAAGAGUCCCUAGAGAGUUUACUGCCCACUUCCCCAGGUGAAGAUACAAGAGAAGUCAGCAGUCUGCAACCCAGAAGAGGGCCCCCAUCAGAACCCCAUCAUGCUGGCACCUUGAUCUUGGACUUCCAACCUUCAGAAAUUCUUUAAAUUGCUGCACUCCUCAGGCUGAAACGGAUGAAUGAGACUUUAGACGACGGGUUCCUCUGAAGCUCUGUGAAAUUCCUGAUUGGUAUAUGUCGAAACAAUCAAAACAGAUUUAAAUGUCAAGAGCUUUGCUCAUCAACAGCUAUGGGCAGCGUGAGCUCAUUUGUUGCUAAAACUCCACAAGAUUGUGCAAAAUGAACCACAGAAAGAAUUUUAUUCUCUUUCUGUAGAAAAAAAGAAUUCAACAGAAAAUAAGCUACCUGGACAAAAAAAGUAUGCAGAUGUUGACAGCAGCUGGUUGACUAAAAUUCAAACUAUUUUCAAUAAAAUCUGAUUAAUAUGUUAAUUCUAAAUAAAAUAUGAUGGUCCUUUUUUCAUCUAAACAUUUACAGAAG